rnacentral:lncRNA from 1 species
UCUGGCCGGCACCGAGACGUCGUCCACCGCCGUGGACUGGGUGAUGUCGGAGAUGAUCAGAAACCCCGGCACGCUGAGAAGGGCGCAAGACGAGGUGCGGGAGGUGUUCGACGGCGAGGGCUACGUCGACGAGCAAAAAUUUGACGACCUCAAAUACAUGAAAUUAGUGAUCAAAGAGACGAUGAGGCUGCACCCGCCGGUGCCGCUCCUGGUGCCGAGAAUAAACAGCGAGAUAUGCGAGAUCGACGGCUACAAGAUUCCGGCGGGGACGAGAGUGAUGGUGAACGCGUGGGCGCUGGGGAGGGACCCCAAGCACUGGGACGAGGCGGAGAAGUUCAAGCCGGAGAGAUUCGAGGGGAGCUCCGUCGACUUCAAAGGGAACAAUCUCGAGUUCAUCCCGUUCGGCGCCGGCCGGAGGAUGUGCCCCGGCAUGGCGUUCGGGCUCGCGAAUAUCGAGUUCUCGCUCGCCACGCUGCUGUAUCAUUUCGACUGGGAGAUGGCGGGCGGGGCGGGCGGCGAGGAGCUGGAUAUGGAGGAGUCGUUCGGCGCCACCGCGAAGCGGAAGAACGAUUUGCUCCUCGUCCCCACUCUCAAGAGGCCGUUGCGCCUCGUCAAGUGAUGAUUGAUUCAUUUCUUUAAUUAAUUUGUAGUUAAAUAUUUAUUUUUAUUUUAUUUUUUGCGAUAGUUAAAUAUUUACUGGCGUUUACACUCGUGCAUUAACUGUGGCAUUUACACUCGCGCGUGCAGUGUAAAAUUGAUAUCGAUUCAAUAUAAUAAUAAUUUUACCAAAAUAUAUUUGAGUUUGAUAUGAAAAAAUAAAGAAGAAUUCAAAAUAAUAAAGAUUGAUAUUGUUAAAAAAAGAAGGGAGAUUUUUUGCUUGACAAGAGCGUCUCCAACAUGCAUAUGAUGCUUUAGAUAAAUAUCUCAAUGUUCAUACAUUCAAUUUUUCUAAUUAUAAAUGAUGAUGAUGAUGAUGAUAAUAUUGCAUUAAUGGACAGCGUAUGAUUAUGAUCUAACUAAAAACCCAAGAAAAAAGAUUUAUCUUCUUAGUCUUACAAUUUAUAACUCUUCAUGAAGUUGGACCUAAUUGGCCCUUCAAGUUUGAUAUAUGGGGCCUACUCAACUAUUCACGAUAUACAUAUAUGCACAUUAAUUACUGGACCUGCAUGCAUCAGUGGAAGAGCAUGCAUCCACGCUAUUUUUUUUUUUCAGUAUAGAAAAUAUUUGAUAUAUACUCUUUUUUGUUGGAAUAUAAAAAUAAACUUGAUUUUUUAAGUGAAGAUAUUUGUAUUAGAAAUAUCUAAAAUGAAGAUAUUUGUAUUAGAAAUAUCUAGAAUCAAGAUAUUUUAAGAAGAAAAAGAAAGAAAGAAAAAUAUAGAGAAUUCUAGAAAAAGUGACUAAGUGAAGAUAUUUUGUAAUAGUAAAAUAAGUAUAAAAAUCUAGAUAGAAAUCAAGAGAAUUCUAGAAUUCUCACUUGACUACUAUAUAUAUGUGGAGGUUGUAUCAAUUGUUAAGAAUGAAGUGAAUUGAAGGAAAAUUGUGUUAGUAAACAACAAUCCUCCCACUCAAAUUUCUAAGCACACAUACGUCCACAACCAAUUUCUCCGAAUUUCCUCCUACCAAUCAAACAAAUUCUCCAUUAUAUAUUCUUAUAUUCCAACAAAGUGGUAUCAGAGCCAUAAAAUCCUACCUGUGGAAUGGCCAACCUACAAUCGUUUCAAGUCCCCAUGCUCAACAAGAGCAACUUCGACAAUUGGAGCAUCAAGAUGAAGGCGCUAUUGGGAGCUCACGACGUUUGGGAGAUCGUGGAGAACGGCUACGAGGAGCCGCAGGACGAGGCCGCACUAUCCCAACAACAAAAGGAUAGAUUGCGAGACGCGAGAAAGAGAGACAAGAAGGCUCUCUGUCUCAUUUAUCAAGCGCUGGGGGACGACGAUUUCGAGAAAAUCUCAAACGCGAGCACCGCCAAGGAAGCAUGGGAGAAGCUCCAGAACGCGUGCAAAGGAGCGGAGCAAGUAAAAAAGGUACGACUUCAAACUUUAAGAGGAGAGUUUGAGUCUUUGCAUAUGAAAGAGUCCGAGUCAAUUUCGGAUUAUUUUUCAAGAGUCUUGGCGGUGUCUAAUCAAAUGAAAAGAAAUGGUGAAAAGUUGGAGGAUGUAAGAAUUAUGGAGAAAAUAUUGCGCUCACUAACUCCAAAGUUUGAGCACAUUGUGGUGACGAUCGAAGAAACUAAAAAUUUGGAGGAGAUGACGAUCGAUCUCUUGUUGGGGUCGUUGCAAGCAUACGAGGAGAAGCAAAAGAAGAAGCAAGAGAUUUCAGAGCAACUUUUAAAGUUGCAAGUAAGCUCGAAAGAGAAAGAAGAAGGUCCGAGCAAUGGCCAUGGACAAUCCGGAAGAGGACGUGGCCAAGGACAAGAUCGAGGCAGAGGCCGAACACGUGGACGUGGUCGAGGACGAGGAGGCUUCGUCAACAGUGGUGAAAGAAAUGAGUUUACAAAUGGUCGGGGGAGGAGCAACCCGCAGUCGAGGUACGAUAAAUCCUCAAUAAAGUGUUAUAAUUGCCAUAAAUUUGGGCACUAUGCUUCCGAGUGCAGAAGUGAAAAAGUAAGGAUUGAAGAAAGGGCCAAUUAUGCCGAGAACACGAGCGAAGCAAAUGGUAGUGUGCUUCUGGCAUAUAAAGGAGAAGCUGGAAGACAAGAUGACACGUGGUACCUCGACACCGGUGCAAGCAACCACAUGUGCGGGAAGAGAAGCAUGUUCGUGGAGCUCGAUGAGUCGGUAAGUGGCAACGUCUCCUUUGGGUUAACUGAACAGGUGUAUGGGGGGAUACACAUGUAGGCUAUUUUCGUGGAAAAUAAACAAAUCAAAUUUCAGUUGAAAGAUGGUUGUAGACUGAUACUGAAAUAUAUAUUAUAUCAAUUUCAAUUUUUUUUUUAAUUUUUGAUUUCAUUAUUUUUAUGAAAUAAUUGAACGACACGGUCAACACGAGGCACAAUUUUCAUAGCUAUAAUUUGUUAGUAUCAAUUUCAUUGAUAUCUUAUAAUCUUCUAUAUCGUAGUAUACUUUUAAGAAAUAAUCGAAUAAUGUUUAUUUGGAAAAUUAUAUAGAAAUAAGAAAAAAACUAUAUAUAUCAAAAGAAUUGUAGGAGACUUAAAAAUAUCGAUGUUAAAAAAAAGGGAAACUAAGAAAAUGAGAAAAUGGUGGGGGUAUCAAAAAAUUUGGUCAAAGCAAUAACAUUUAAAAUAGAAAAGAAAAUUAAAAACAUAAAUUUAAAAUAAUCUCAAACUUUACACAAUAUCUUGGGUACACCCGGGUAUACCGUAUAGUCGGGUUGACCCGUAACCAAAAUAGUGUUAUUUAUAUGGUUUGGGUUAGGAUAUGGAUUCAAAUCAGAGUACGAGUCAAAGUGCAACUCAGUUAUACGGUACACUCCGGUGUACCCAAGAUCACCUCUAAACUUUAAUCGAUCAUAUUUUUCAUAUUUUAAACUAGUUUUUUUUACAAAUUAUACAUCAAUAAAUUUUUUUAUCACAAUCUUUAAUAUAAUGCAUAUUACAAAUUUUAUUUAAAAUUAAAUAACCCAAUUUCUGGAAAUAAAGAGCAAAAAAAAAAAAUAGCCGGAAAAAUGAAAUUAAAAGAAAUCUUUUUCUUUGGCAUGGGCAAAGCAACAAAUUAUGGUUGGUUUCGUUCUAGAACUUGGAGUGACUGUUCAAGCAUUUUUUUAAUAAGACUGUUGAAUUAAAAUUGAUUGCAUAUCUGUAAAAGAUUAUAGUGAUUUUUAAGGAUGCAAAUCCAUGAUUUAUUUCCUAAUUCAAUAGUGUAUAGAAGGCAAAAAUCAAAAAACUUGUCACAUUUAAUAAAAUAUAACCGAUAAUAUAUGAAAGGGGCAAAUCAGCCAUGAUCGUAAAUCUAUUUAUUAUUAAAUAGAAUACAUUUUUGAGAGCCCACAUUCAUUCUCUAUCCUAGGUGGCGCUCUCAAUAAUCUCCAUUCUCUUUUUUCUAAUUUCUACAUUUUACUCAUUUUCAAUAAUAAUUAAAUAUACAUAUAUUAUUUGAUUCAUCAUUAAUUUCCCAUCAUUGACAUCAAUUAGUUAUCAUCUUGCAUUUGGAAAGAUAAAAUUUAUGCUCAUUAAUUAAAACCUUCCUUAUAUAAUGGCAUCAAUUACUUUUCAUAUUUUAUACGAUAUUAGUUAUAUUCUAAUUUAAAAUGCAUCGUGUUCAAGGAUUUAUGCUUUAAUAUAUUAUUGCUUUUUUAUACAGAUCUAUAAUAUUAUUUAUUUAUACUCUAAUAACAUAAGUCAUUUAUAUUUUUCAUAUUUUAUACUAUAAUAUUGGCUCUAUAUAAGCUUCAACCAAAGCAAAUCAAAUGCAUCAUGUUCAAAGUUUCACAAUAAAAUAUGAUAGUAAGGCCAAAUUGUCGUUUUUCAAAACAUUCAUUAGUGUUCUUUUAGUUUUUUUAAUUCACCUUUUGGAAAUGAUAUUUCUUUAAUUGAUAUUAUUCUAAUUAUUCAUUAAUAUUUAUCAAUCAGCUAAUUAAUUGGCAUGUUACGAAACAUAAUUUGUGGCAAUAUUAAUUACAUUAAUAAAUUUUCCUUUUUUAUACUACUUUUCACCUAUAAAUUAUACUAGAAUUUUGCAACCAAUUUCAUCCACAAUAUUAGUUCUUUAUGCAUCUUCAUUCUCUUUUCCUAUUCAGCAGCUGCGAAUGCUAUGAUAUAUAUUGUAUUGUGUGUUAGCAAAUUAAGAUGAUUCUGAAAGUCUCAAGAGAAAAAAGAAUUUUCUCAUAAAUAAGAGAUCUCAAGGAUUCUUGUUGAAGCAGAAGCUCUAGAUCUUAGUCUUAGCAAGGAAACCAUCACAAAUUGCUUACAUUGUAAAAAAAAGUAUAAAACUCCAUCUAAAGAGAAUAAUGUCUCCAAAUGUUGGUUUGAUGUAUCAUUUUCAAAUAGAUUUGAGAGAUAUAGAUUAAUGGCAUGUUGUACAAUAUAUAAAUCUAGAUUUGUGAUUAAUAUGUAUAUCUUGAUUGUUGAUUAAUAUUAAUCAACCAAUAAUAAGAAGUUCCAAAAUAUAGUUUGUGGCAAAAAAUAUUGAUUAUAACAAUAAAUUUUCUAAUUCUAUAUUAUUUUUCUACCUUUAAUUUCUAGAAUUCUUCAAUCAAUUUCACUAACAUUUCAUAUUGUCUAUGCUCACUCAUUCAGACAUUUGCAAUUAAAAGAGUAUUUUCAAUAUUAUAUUUGUUGUAUUUUCUUCAUUCAGAGUUUCAGACUUUUCAACCAACCAAUGAAGUAUAUAUUUUCCUUCAUUCCGAUUUUUCAAUUAUAUGUAUUUUCACUCUAAUGGAUUUACAUUUAUUGUUGAAGAAAUAUAUCAUGAAUGCUUUUUCUUAACCUUGUGCUUUCAUGUAUGUAUAGUCAGAUUUUGUUGGUAGUAGUAAUAAGAAGUUGUGUUACUUGUGCAUGUCAGUAUAUAUACUCGAUGAUGUACUAUAGUAAUUGAUAUUCAUUGAAAAAAUUGAAAUACUAAUUAGAAUAUAAUAGACUAAGUAAUUAUUGGGAAACUAAUUAAAAUAGUAGACUAAGUAACUACUUAGAAUUAUAAUAAGAAACUGAAAUUAAUAUUAAAAGGAUAAGGAAACAAAUUACUAUUAGAAAACUAAUUAAAACAUAGUAAUAGAUUAAGUAACUAAUUUGAAAAAUAAACUAAUCUAUAUAUUAAAUUUAUUAAUUAUAUAUAAAAAUUAAAUAUAUUGAAUGCACUACAUUCAUCCUCAAUUUUAGGUGGCAUCUUCUCCAUUGUCCAUUCUUAGCUAUUAUAAAACCUCUAUCCCACAUGAAAAACAUAUUAAACUUUAACAAUUCAUAAACCUAAAUAAAAUGACAUUCAUCAUUCCUAUAUUAGGCAUUUGUUAUUCAUAUAUUGAUCUUCUAUUAAACUUUAUCAUGGAUAAAUUUGCUAUUCGUGUGGGUUUCACCACAUGGCGAAUCCCCCCCAAUUUUUUAUUAUUAUUUUUUUAAAUCGGAUUUGCGAAUCGGGUGCGCCCAACUCACGAAUCUGGUGCAUUUAGGGUGCAUUGAGGGUUAUUUUGAAUAAUUUCAUUAUUUUUAGGCUCUUUUACAAUUUUUUCAAUUUAUUGCCCUACAAUUAUUUGUGUCUCUUCGAUCCCUCAACAAAGAAGAAUUCAAUUUUAAGAAAUUAUAAUCCUACUAGAUUUUAUUUUCUAAGUUCUAUCAUAAUUAGUAGUAAACUAAUAAAUUAAAUAAUUAUAAGAAUACAAGUGGCAGAUUGAAAUGCUUUAUCUUGCAAUUUCAGCUAUUAUAUGUAUUUUAUUUCUUAAUAUUUGACUUAUAUUUGCAAUGCAACAUUUAAUUUAUGAAUGUUCUUUUCUUUUUUUCAAUUUGAUUGGUCAUAUAUAAUAAAAUAUAUAAAUAUAACAGACGUAUCCUUCACGAAUCGCAUCGAUCCUAUAUGUUUUGAAAAUCUGUAUCCCCACACCCGAAUCGUAUCGCUCCCGCACGCGCCCCCUCGCACCUGUACAACAUAGAGUAUCAUGUUAGUUGAUAUUUCUAUUUGAAUUUUUUUAUUAUUUUAAUUCUUUGUUAUUUAUACAUUAAUAAUUAAUGUAUAUUUUGUAUUGUUCGAAUUUUGGUUGAGAUGUAUAAUCAACUAAUCUAACAAAGUAUAUUUGAUUAUUUAGCUAUUUUAUAAAAUGAAAAUGUAUAGUAACAACUAAUUUUUUAUUAAUUCUCUAAUUAUUACGGGUAUGAAUUUGUAAAUUCUCAAUGAGUUUCAUCGCAAAUAUAUACUUUGAAUUUGAUUAUUUAUAUUUUCUUAUUCAUAUUAUUAAUAUACCAUAGUUGUUACAAGUUAUUUGAUUGUGUAGAUUUUUAUAAAAUUUAAACUGGUUCGACAAAUUGGCAUAUAUUACUAUAUGAGUCAAGAAUGGAUAGUAAAAUCACUUACUAAUAGAGGUUUGAACUAAUAAAAUUACAUAUAUAAAUGAAAUAUCUAAACUGAUUAGAGUUCUAUUUGUUAGAGAGUUGACAAUUGAAGUUAUGGUUGAAUAUAUAUAAUUUCAUAUUUGAUGAUGUGAUGCUCAAAACUCUAGACGAGAUGAUGCUCUUUCAAGUUUCAGAUAAGAUGAUGCUCAUAAGUUAGAGGUGAUCUGUCAAGUUUGAGACGAGAUGAUGCCCACAACUUGAUUGCUUUUAAAACUCCAAAUGAUUUAUUUGAUGUUCGAUAACUCAGUUAUGAACUUUUAAACAUCAAGGCAGAGUCAUUGUUGAGCUACUGAGCAUUAGAGCGACCGAAGCCAUUGAUGGUCUGUUUGCAGCAUUUUCUUGAACACACAACAGUCCCAUGUGCAUACAUCUCAACAUGUCACGUACAAAACCCGCACCAUUCGUCAGCACGGGAUCUAUCAUAUUUGCAGCUGUCCCUUCUCGCCAGUUCUUCCAUGUCUGUGAAUGUGUGGCCAUUAGUUGCAAUACAACCAUUCUACUAAUUAACAUUGAUAGAUAUGAUGGUACUUACAAGAGUCAAGAGGUCCUCUGUACUGUCCCCAUUUUGGAUACAAUAGAGGCUGGGUCGGGGGGUAAUAGAGGCUUGGGUGUGGGGUGGUGGAGCGGCUCCUGGAGUUAAGUCGGGGGAGAAGGACAAAUGGCUUAGAGAGAACCUUGCUUUGAGAAUUGGGGAGGGUAAUCAACUGAGUUUUUGGAAUCAUUGUUGGGCGGGGGGUAGAACUUUGGCGGAAGAGUUUCCACGACUCUUUCACCUUAGCGCUCACUGGGAAGGUAGCGCUCACCGGGCAGGGGGUAGAACUUUGGAAUCAUUCUGGUACCAUGUGCAAUGAAAAAAAAUUCCUUGCCUAAGACAAAAAAAAAAAACUCCCUCCGUUCACGAAAGAACUUUCUAUCUUUUCUUUUUGGGACGCCUCCAAAAAUACUUCCUACCUAUUUUUUUACUAUGCUCCACCACUUAUAAUUACUCUUACUUUUCACUUUUCACAACUCUCAAUAUUAAUUAGUAUAACAUUUUUNGACAAUUAAUACAAAUUUUACUGUUAAAUAUUUUAUUUUAAAACUAAAUAUUUAUAUAUAAAAUGAACCAAUAUAAAACACAAAACUUAUGUUGGGUCCCGGUGGGUUAACUGAACAGGUGUAUGGAGGAUACACAUGUAGGCUAUUUUCAUGGAAAAUAAACAAACCAAACUUCAGUUGAAAGAUGGUUGUAGACUGAUACUGAAAUAUACUCUCUCCGUCCACGAAAGAACUUCCUAUCUUUCCUUUUUGGGACGUCCACAAAAGAACUUCCUACCUAUUUUUGGACUAUACCCCACCACUUAUAAUCCUCUUACUUUCACUUUUCACAACUCUCAAUAUUAAUUAUAACACAUUUUUCACCACUCUCAAUACACUCAAUUACCUUUUAUCCACUCUCAAUACACUUAACAAUAUUUUUUCUUAAAACCCGUGCCACUCCCUCCUAGAAAGUUCUUUCAUGGACGGAGGGAGUAUAUUAUAUCAAUUUUAAUUUUUUAUUUUUUAUUUUGAUUUCAUUAAUAUCUUAUAAUUUUAUGUAUUAUAAUAUAUUUUUAUGAAAUAAUUGAACGACACGGUCAACACGAGGCACAAUUUUCAUGGCUAUAAUUUGUUAGUAUCAAUUUCAUUGAUAUCUUAUAAUCUUCUCUAUCGUAGUAUACUUUUAAGAAAUAUAAUCGAAUAAUGUUUAUUUGGAAAAUUAUAUAUAAAAAAAAAACUAUAUAUAUCAAAAGAAUUGUAGGAGACUUAAAAAUAUCGAUGUAAAAGGGGGGGGGGGGGGAACUAAGAAAAGGAGAAAAUGGUGGGGGUAUCAAAAAAUUUGGUCAAAGCAAUAACAUUUGAAAUAGAAGAGAAAAUUAAAAAUAAUUAAAAACAUAUAUUUAAAAUAAUCUCAAACUUUACACAAUAUCUUGGGUACACUUGGAUGUACCGUAUAAUCGGGUUGACCCGUACCCAGAAUAGUGUUAUUUAGUAUAUGGUUUGGGUCAGGAUAUGGGUUCAAAUCAAAGUACGAGUCAAAGUGCAACCCAGUUGUACGGUACACUCCGGUGUACCCAAAAUUACCUCUAAACUUUAAUCGAUCAUAUUUUUCAUAUUUUUAACUAGGAGUAUUUUUUUUUACAAAUUAUACAUCAAUAAAUUUUUUUAUCACAAUCUUUAAUAUAAUGCAUAUUACAAAUUUUAUUUUAAAUUAAAUAACCCAAUUUCUGGAAAUAAAGAGCAAAAAUAAGAGAAAAGAAAGAAAUAGCCGGAAAAAUGAAAUUAAAAGAAAACUUUUUCUUUGGCAUGGGCAAAGCAACAAAUUAUGGUUGGUUUCGUUCUAGAACUUGGAGUGACUGUUCAAGCAUUUUAAUAAGACUGUUGAAUUAAAAUUGAUUGCAUAUCUGUAAAAGAUUAUAGUGAUUUUUAAGGAUGCAAAUCCAUGAUUUAUUUCCUAAUUCAAUAGUGUAUAGAAGGCAAAAAUAAAAAAACUUGUCACAUUUAAUAAAAUAACCGAUAAUAUAUGAAAGGGGCAAAUCAGCCAUGAUCGUAAAUAUUUAAUAAUAGAAUUAAUUUUUGAGGGUAUUAUGCAUGUACAUGUUAUGUAAGAAAAUCUUUUUCCAUUAAUUAUUAAACCAAAACUAUAUGUGAAAAAGUGAGUGAAAGUCGCAAAUAGUCGGAACUAGUAUCAAUAAAUAUGAAGAAAAUUUGGGAUUUGACUUCAAAAGAAUCUGCCACAACUUCAAUUAAGCACCACUACUUCUGCCUCCAUAGAUACAAAGGAUGCGUAAAAAAUGAAAAAUAUUUCUUGUCAAAGAAUUUAAUGCAUGAGAAAAGUACUCGUAUCAUUUAUUUGACUUAGAAGCUUGAAGCUUCCUUAAUUAUCAUAGAAUUCAUUUUCUGCUAUAUAUAAACAUCAUUCCCAUCUCACCACGCUCACAACUAAAAACACACAGUAGAUAAAAAAAAAAAAAAAAAAACUCAUUCAUUUUGUGAGGAUGAUGAUGAUGGAUCCCGAGUUCCCAUCAACCCUCACACUCGUCGUAGCCUCACUUCUUCUGCUUCUGAUCCUUUCCAAAUUCCGGAAACCCUCGGAAUCGGAAUGCGAUCUCAAUCGCAUUCCGGGGCCCAAGAGGCUCCCGGUGAUCGGAAACAUCCACCUCCUGCUCAGCAAGUCCAUGCCUCAUUUCAUUUUCCGACAACUCGCCGCCAAAUACGGCCCCCUGAUGCGGCUGCAGCUCGGCGGCGUCCCCUUCCUCAUCGUCUCCUCCGUCGACGUCGCGAAGCAAGUGCUCAAGACCCACGACGUGGCCUUCGCGAACCGGCCGCUCAUGCACGCCGCCACCACCAUCACCUACAACUACACCAACAUCGCCUUCGCCCCCUACGGCGAGUACUGGAGGAACCUGCGGAAGAUCUGCACGCUCGAGCUGCUGAGCGCGAAGCGCGUGAGGUACUUCCGCCCCAUAAGGGAGGAGGAGAAUAUGAACCUGGCGGCGCUGAUCGCCUCCAAGGGAGGAUCGCCGGUGAAUCUGUCGGAGGUGGUCGGGCUGUCGGCGUUCGACAUCACGAGCAGGGCGUCGGUGGGGGAGGAGACGGAGGAGAAGCACACGAUGACCGCCGCCAUCAAGGACGGCAUCGCGCUGGGCUCCGGCCUCAGCGUCGCCGAUCUCUACCCGUCCAAUAAGAUUCUCCCGGUCAUCAGCGGCAUGAAUUACAAGAUCCAAAAGGUUUUCCGGCAGACGGAUAGGGUUUUCGAGAGCAUCAUCGGCCGUCACAGAGCCGCCGGCCGGAGGGAUGAGCGGUCCGAGGAUCUGGUGGAUGUUCUCCUCAAGUGCCAGCGAGACGACGCCGGAGUGCGCCUCACCACCGACAACAUCAAAGCAGUCAUAUUGGUAUGUAUCAACUCUUUCUUUCUAAAAAAACGUAUACUCUCUCUGUCCAUAAUAAAACUUUUUAGAAAGGAAUGAUAUGAAUUUUAAGACGAUAUUAUCGAGUAUAUUGAGAAUAAAAAUAUGUUGUAAUUAGUAUUAAGAGUGAUAAAAAUAUAAAAAGUAAGAAUAAAUGUGAUACUACGUUUGUCCACAAAAAAUAGUCCUAAUCGACACGAGUUUUUAAUAAAAAUAGUUAUUGUAUUGAGAGUGGAGAAAUUGUCUCAUUUAAAUAGUAGUGUUCAAAAUGAUAAUUAAUUGUAUCCUGACUAUGUGAUAGAUCAUUUCUAAAAUUAAUAAAGAGAGACUAAUUUUUGUGGACAUUCUAAAAUGACAAAAAAAAAUACUACUAUUUUUUAUAUGAACGGAUGGAGUAUUAUUAGUGGUGGGAUAUAAUAUAAAAAUAAAAAGAAUAUUCUUUUGUGUAUGUCGAAAAAUGAAAAUUUAGUAAAUUUUAUUAUGAACAGAAGGAGUAUUGUUUAUUUAGUUACACCUCAUACGUCACACUUAAGUAUACUAGGUACUUCAAAUUAGAGUUGAUAAUUGGUUGAAUUUGAACCCAACCUUGCUAGAUCCAAAUUUAAAUUAGAUUUUUUAUUUUAUUUUAUUGGAUGUAGACCAAAUUCAUUUUGUCCACAAAAAUGAGGUCCAGAUUGGAGUCCAUAAGAUCCACAAAUCAAAGGUCUCGGGUCCACUUCUUGAUUAUGAUUAAUUAAUGCUAAUUGAAUUAAUUAAUUAAACCUCUAACAUGGAUUCACAAUCGUAAUUACAUUUAAUUAUUAUGGAUGCAUGGUACCAUCAGGCAUAAUUAAUCCUAAUUAUGAUUAAUAAACUUUGAUUAGAGAUUAAUCAAUCUUUUUCGUAGAACUAAACAACUAAAUAAGAAAAUUUCAAUGGCAGUGCCACGAUGAACUCGAACCAACGCGCACAUGCAUCUCAAUUGAAUAUUGGCUAACUCUAAGCAAUUAGCUGACACAUUUUACUUUUAUUGAUAUCGAUGUUUCGGUACACGUGAUCAGGAUAUGUUUCUGGCCGGCACCGAGACGUCGUCCACCGCCGUGGACUGGGUGAUGUCGGAGAUGAUCAGAAACCCCAGCACGCUGAGAAGGGCGCAAGACGAGGUGCGGGAGGUGUUCGACGACGAGGGCUACGUCGACGAGCAAAAAUUUGACGACCUAAAAUACAUGAAAUUAGUGAUCAAAGAGACGAUGAGGCUGCACCCGCCGGUGCCGCUCCUGGUGCCGAGAAUAAACAGCGAGAUAUGCGAGAUCGACGGCUACAAGAUUCCGGCGGGGACGAGAGUGAUGGUGAACGCGUGGGCGC